GUGUAGAACGGGCGGAAGGUCCCUGUCUUGCCGACCUCACCCCCGCCCUGUGCGGAGUGGAACGUCCCGGCUCCUUAAGGGCCUGGGCCGCGGCGGGAGCGGCCUUUCCUCCGUGGCUGCUGCGGUGCGGGUGUGCUCUGGCUUCUGGCGCUGGUGGCCGGUGGCCGGUGGCCGCAGCCAGUGCCUUCCUCGUGUUUGGGAGAUGUUUCCGGGGAGCUUAACCGGAGGCGGCGGGCGGCCGCCCACGUGGGCCUCGGGCGGGCGCCGGGGCGGGGACUGGAGCCUGGCGGGGCCGCGCCACGCAGCCGGGCGCGUGCUUGUCCCGCGGGCCCGCCGCCCCCCGGAGCCUGAGGUCGCCGAAGGCCGGGACCCCUGGGCCUGGGCUCGCCGUUGGGAGUGAGCCAACCCGAGAGAACUGGCAGACCCACCGAAGAGGGCCCCGGGCGGAGCGGCCGCGCCCUGCGGUUGCAAAUGAAUGAAGAACUGGCAAGAGCCGAGGACUGCAGUGGAGCAUUGGCCUGCAACGGGGUAAGCUGUGGUCUGUGGAGAGGCUCUGAGUGCUGGAGAAUGGUGACCUGUGCAGGCCAAAGCUGGUGAUGGUGGCAGCAGCAGCAGCUUACCCUGGGGACAGGCUGUUUUUCCAGUGGAUGGUCCGCCAUGCUGCAGCAGGGGCAGAACUUGAAGUUCCAAGGACCAGUAGUCACCAUCAAUUUGGACUCAAGACGAAAACCUAGGCUUCAACAUUUAGUGUAGAAAGUCUCACCCUGUCCCACUGGCUUGGCUCAGUGGAUAGAGCAUCAGCCUGUGGACUGAAGGGUCCCAGGUUCAAUUCCAGCCAAGGGCACAUGCCCAGGUUGCAGACUUCAAUCCCCAGUGGGGGGUGUGCAGGAGGCAGCUGAUCAAUGAUUCUCAUCAAUGUUUCUCUCUCUCCCUUCCUCUCUGAAAUAAUAAAAAAAU